rnacentral:rRNA from 1 species
UACGAAGGGGGCUAGCGUUGCUCGGAAUCACUGGGCGUAAAGCGCACGUAGGCGGCUUUCUAAGUCAGGGGUGAAAUCCUGGAGCUCAACUCCAGAACUGCCUUUGAUACUGGAAGCUUGAGUCCGGGAGAGGUGAGUGGAACUGCGAGUGUAGAGGUGAAAUUCGUAGAUAUUCGCAAGAACACCAGUGGCGAAGGCGGCUCACUGGCCCGGUACUGACGCUGAGGUGCGAAAGCGUGGGGAGCAAACAGG